CCGUUUCAAGUUAGCACAGGGAGAGAAAACCAAGCCCCUACCUGUGCGACAUGUGCGUAUUACAUUCAGCAAAAGGGAAAGAAAACUCAAGCUCUCACCCGUGUGUCUCAUUUGUUCAUGGUCCAUUUCGUUCCUUUCUUUCCAACUUCAGAAAAGCCCUAGCUCUCAUCUCCUCAAGGUGAGGAACAACAAGUCGAAACACUCUCUGUGUUCUUCAGUUCCACACGCCCAUUUCAUUGUUUGAUACUCCAUUUCAUACCUGGGGAGGAAGCUUAAAUCAGAUUUCACCCUGUUGACUUCCAAUGGUUGAUUUCUCACUUGUUGCUCUUUACUCUUGUUUAGUCGAGUGUGACUAAGUGGAAGACGGGUAGGGAUAGCCCAAAUCGUGCAAGACCACAGUUGUGAAGGACUUAUUGAGGUGCAAAGAGGGACUAAGGAAAUGAUGAAGAUGAGACUGUGGAGCAAGACAUUGCUAGGGAGGGGGGAGCCAGAUGCCUAGAGUAGCCUGGGGAUGGGUCUCUUUUAUCUGAUGUUAGAUUAUUUGGUUGGUUGGUUUGAAAAAAUAUUUUGGGGACAUGUAUUUUGAGACAAUUGUUUCUUUUGUGGACUGGGUAGAUGUUUCUAACCAGGAAAUGACUAUAGUUUUUAAACUUGUAAUUAAUGAGACCAUCCUAUAUUUUGAAAAAUAGGUUAUUUUGGGACUUGAAAUAUGAUAGAAAAUGGGAAGGUUCAUUUUCUAAAUUUUAGUAUGA